rnacentral:lncRNA from 1 species
GAGGGGAGGAGUGGAUGACUCAAGGGCCAUUUAGGAGAUAAAUGGACAUGAUUGGGUGAUGGGUUUGGUGGGAAGGAUGAGGGCGAGGGAGUUGUUAGGAUGACACCUAGGUUUCUGGAUAGAACUGUUGCCAGGCAACAGAGUGAAAGCCAGGAGAGAGUGGGAAAGAGGUGGGACACACUUUCCCUUGCAGCUGUUAUUAUGCUUGUGUUUGCAAAAUAAGGGGUGCUGGGAGUGUGGGCAUGCAUAGCUCCCUGAUUGCCUGUCCAGGGGUGAGGAGGCUGAUUUGAAGACGUUGUACAUUGUGGGCUAAAAAGCUGGGCCUGAGAGCUAGGGCUUCCAGUCUUGGCUCUGCAUGCACAUAGCUGUUUGACCUUGAAGGGGCAGGUUCACCCCUCUGGGCCUCAGCUCUAAAACUGAUGGCCCUGCUGGUCUGGCAUUUUAAGAGCACAAAGCAACCUAAGUCUUAUUUGUGUCCACUAGCACUAUUUACAGGGCUCCCCCUUGGAAAGUUAUUCCUUGUAGAUCCACUUUAUCUGGAGCCUGAAGGUUAAAACAGCAUAAAGUCCUGAAUGUGAGAUCUGAAAGGAAUCACAGAGCCCAUUUGCCCAAUCUUCUAAUUUUACAGAGAGGGACAGCACCUGUGUUUGACCCUUAUUUCUAUCCUCCUGCACUAUUCUGCACAUAGGAGAAAAGAUGGAGCAGUUUGUGCAAAGCCACAAAGCUGUAAGGCAGAAGAGCACCCUUUGGGGAUGGUGGAAACCAGAGUCAUGGUGGCAGUGGGCAGAUGGGGAGAGUUCUUCUUGAUGGAGAAGAUCCCUUUGUUUCCUGAGUCGGGGCCAGCCUGCCAUUGUCGUCUGGAAGAAGACAGAAGGCUGUAGCAAUCUGCUCGCCUCCUACUCACAUACUGGGAAGAAAAGAUGUUUUUUAGCACAGUUGCCUGGCAGGGAACCUUGGUGAAAACUCAGCAACCCUCUCCCUUACUUCCCAGGGUACCGUUUAAGCAGGAGCUGAUGACAGUUAUGCUCACAGCUCAACAACCAAAAGAGUAUUCACAGGCUCUCAGAAGGUCAGGGGCAGCAGUGGAAAGAAUGGUGAAGGUAGAGUGGGUCUGGAUCCUGGUUUCUGCCCUGCUUUCUGUGCUGCAGUUGAGAAUACAUUUAACCUCAGUUUCCUCAUCUGUAAAAUUGAAACAAUACCGACCUUACUUUAACCAAGUGGGAGCACACUGGCAAACUGCUGCCCCUGACCUACAGAGUAGGUUCUUGUUACCCUCUUCCACUCCAUGUAUUGAUGUGGUCCAAACUCUGGUCCUCUGAAGCAUCCCUGUUUCAUCUCUUGAGUUGUCAUUGCCGUUAUUUCUUGAACUUCCAGUGGUGAAAUACCCUAGACCUUCAGAGCUAGAAAAAAGAAAGGACCCUGCCACCCACCAAUGCAGCCUCCCAUUUUACAAAUAAGACAUCCAAGGCUCGCAGAGGGGAAGUCACAGCACUUGGGCCCCGUCCUCCAGCUUUCCAAGACCACAUAGUCCCUCGCACCUGGGCCCACCUCGUGGGAACCACACAGAUGCUUGAGGCAAUUAUCCAGAUGGUUCCAGCCAAAGGAUCUGGAAAAUUCUGGCUAAGAAACACAAGUCCUCAACCAACUGCAGAACUGAAGCAAAAGCCUUUUUCGCCAUCAUUUUAACUGCGAUUCCAUAGGUGACAGCUUUGCCUUCUCCCCCAGAGCUGAGCUCCUCUGAACAAGCUUGAGGGGGGGCGGGUGCUGAAAAUGGGGCUCCGAGCUCCACCAGCUCGCAGAUUGCAGCUACCAGGACAUUUUCACACUUCUUAAUGCCAAAACCUGCGUUGGGAGCUGAUCUGCUCUCAAAGAGGGCUUUGAGAGUGGUGGAAGGCUCUGGAUGAUCUUAGACACAGGGGGUGGAAUGUGGUAUCAGCGAAGAACACUGGGGCCAAAGCAAAUGGCAGGAAGCAGGUGUGAGUGGCGAGGCUGUGGGUGACUGCCUGGACCACCAAGCAAGCAUCUGACCCUUCUAGGUCUCAUUUUCCUCAUCCAUAUAAAGGGAUAACAACCUCCUACCAAGAGUUGCGAGAAUUUGGUGAGAUAGUAUAUGGGGUAAAGUGUUUACCCCCAAGCCAGGCAGAGAGCCAGGGCUUAAUAAGCAAGAGCUGCUGCUGAUGCUGUUGGGGGCCGUGCUAUUAUCAGCAGCUCAGGAUCAGC